rnacentral:rRNA from 1 species
UACGGGGGGGGCAAGCGUUGUUCGGAAUUACUGGGCGUAAAGGGCUCGUAGGCGGCCAACUAAGUCGGACGUGAAAUCCCCAGGCUCAACCUGGGAACUGCGUCUGAUACUGGAUGGCUUGAAUCCGGGAGAGGGAUGCAGAAUUCCAGGUGUAGCGGUGAAAUGCGUAGAUAUCUGGAGGAAUACGGGUGGCGAAGGCGGCAUCCUGGACCGGCAUUGACGCUGAGGAGCGAAAGCCAGGGGAGCAAACGGG